rnacentral:tRNA from 1 species
GGAGAGAUGGCUGAGCGGCUGAAAGCAGCGGUUUGCUAAACCGCCAUAAUGCUCUCAAAGCGUUAUCGAGGGUUCGAAUCCCUCUCUCUCCG